rnacentral:rRNA from 1 species
AUUGAACGCUGGCGGCAUGCCUUACACAUGCAAGUCGAACGGUAACAGGUCUUCGGAUGCUGACGAGUGGCGAACGGGUGAGUAAUACAUCGGAACGUGCCUAGUAGUGGGGGAUAACUACUCGAAAGAGUGGCUAAUACCGCAUGAGAUCUACGGAUGAAAGCAGGGGAUCGCAAGACCUUGUGCUACUAGAGCGGCCGAUGGCAGAUUAGGUAGUUGGUGGGAUAAAAGCUUACCAAGCCGACGAUCUGUAGCUGGUCUGAGAGGACGAUCAGCCACACUGGGACUGAGAAACGGCCCAGACUCCUACGGGAGGCAGCAGUGGGGAGUUUUGGACAAUGGGCGCAAGCCUGAUCCAGCAAUGCCGCGUGCAGGAUGAAGGCCUUCGGGUUGUAAACUGCUUUUGAACGGAACGAAAAGCCCCGGGUUAAUACCCUGGGGUCAUGACGGUACCGUAAGAAUAAGCACCGGCUAACUACGUGCCAGCCGCCGCGGUAA